rnacentral:rRNA from 1 species
ACGGAAGGCAGCAGCUAAGAAUAUUCCGCAAUGGACGAAAGUCUGACGGAGCGACGCCGCGUGGAUGAUGAAGGUCGGAAGAUUGUAAAAUCCUUUUAAGCGUGAAGAAUAAGCGGGACAGGCAAUGGUUUCGUGGUGACGGUAGUGCUUGAAUAAGCAACGGCUAAUUACGUGCCAGCAGCCGCGGUAAUACGUAAGUUGCGAGCGUUGUUCGGAAUUAUUGGGCGUAAAGGGCAUGUAGGCGGAUAUGCAAGCUUGGUGUGAGAGGCGGGAGCUCAACUCCCGGACUGCGUUGAGAACUGCAUAACUAGAGUGACUGAGGGGCAGGCAGAAUUCCAGGUGUAGGGGUGAAAUCUGUAGAUAUCUGGAAGAAUACCAAUGGCGAAGGCAGCCUGCCAGCAGAUGACUGACGCUGAGGUGCGAAGGUGCGGGGAGCAAACAGGAUUAGAUACCCUGGUA